rnacentral:tRNA from 1 species
GCCUUUGUGGUGAAAUGGUAGACACAACAGACUCAAAAUCUGUCGCUUGUAAAAGCAUGCUGGUUCAAAUCCAGUCAAAGGCA